rnacentral:sRNA from 1 species
GGUGAACCUGCGGAAGGAUCAUUACCGAUGUGAAAAAAUCCAAGGUUAAACAUCAUUAACCAGUGUGAACUGUACAACAACUCUUUAGGGGUCGGCACAGGCGUGUGUCGUUAAAUGGCGGAUAGGUUCCUUCCGCCAGCCCCGCCAUUGUGUUUAUGAUAUCACUUUGAACGUUUAAGACUGAGAACGUAUGUAUCAUGCAUGAAAUGUAUGAGAAAGAAGGAAAGAAAAAUGAGAGACAACUUUUGACGGUGGAUCUCUUGGCUCACGUAUCGAUGAAGAACGCAGCCAGCUGCGAUAUGUAGUGUGAAUUGCAGAAUUCAGUGAAUCAUUGAAUCUUUGAACGCAAAUGGCGCUCUUGGGUUCUCCCAGGAGCAUGUCUGUCUGAGUGUCGGAUUUUAUCGAACGCACUCGUGAGUGCGGUAUUGAGGUGUCACGGCGUGUUAGCAUUAAAUCGCCGUGUCCCUUGAAGGACAGCAGCAUUGGACUCGCAUUCUCUAUUGAAACUUGAGUGCGAAGGCUAAAGAUAAUAUUUUCCUUCGCCCAAACAUGCAAUAGCAGAAACAAAAUCCAAUCAAAGCGGUGACAGACAAUGACAACAUCAAAUCUUGACCUCAGAUCAGGCAAGGCUACCCGCUGA